rnacentral:rRNA from 1 species
GAUGAACGCUAGCGGCAGGCCUAAUACAUGCAAGUCGGACGGGAUCUAAAAUUAAGCUUGCUUAAUUUUAGUGAGAGUGGCGCACGGGUGCGUAACGCGUGAGCAACCUGCCCAUAUCAGGGGGAUAGCCCGGUGAAAAUCGGAUUAACACCGCAUGACACAGCAGUUUCGCAUGAAACCACUGUUAAAUAUUUAUAGGAUAUGGAUGGGCUCGCGUGACAUUAGCUAGUUGGUAAGGUAACGGCUUACCAAGGCAACGAUGUCUAGGGGCUCUGAGAGGAGAAUCCCCCACACUGGUACUGAGACACGGACCAGGCUCCUACGGGAGGCAGCAGUAAGGAAUAUUGGUCAAUGGAGGGAACUCUGAACCAGCCAUGCCGCGUGCAGGAUGACUGCCCUAUGGGUUGUAAACUGCUUUUGUCCAGGAAUAAACACCUCUACGUGUAGAGGCUUGAAUGUACUGGAAGAAUAAGGAUCGGCUAACUCCGUGCCAGCAGCCGCGGUAAUACGGAGGAUCCGAGCGUUAUCCGGAUUUAUUGGGUUUAAAGGGUGCGUAGGCGGCCUAUUAAGUCAGGGGUGAAAGACGGCAGCUUAACUGUCGCAGUGCCUUUGAUACUGAUGGGCUUGAAUGUGGUUGAAGAUGGCGGAAUGAGACAAGUAGCGGUGAAAUGCAUAGAUAUGUCUCAGAACUCCGAUUGCGAAGGCAGCUGUCUAAGUCAUUAUUGACGCUGAUGCACGAAAGCGUGGGGAUCGAACAGGAUUAGAUACCCUGGUAGUCCACGCCCUAAACGAUGAUAACUCGAUGUUGGCGAUAUACAGUCAGCGUCUUAGCGAAAGCGUUAAGUUAUCCACCUGGGGAGUACGCCCGCAAGGGUGAAACUCAAAGGAAUUGACGGGGGCCCGCACAAGCGGAGGAGCAUGUGGUUUAAUUCGAUGAUACGCGAGGAACCUUACCCGGGCUUGAAAGUUACUGAAUUAUCUAGAGAUAGAUAAGUCCUUCGGGACAGGAAACUAGGUGCUGCAUGGCUGUCGUCAGCUCGUGCCGUGAGGUGUUGGGUUAAGUCCCGCAACGAGCGCAACCCCUAUGUUUAGUUGCCAGCAUGUAGUGGUGGGGACUCUAAACAGACUGCCAGCGUAAGCUGUGAGGAAGGUGGGGACGACGUCAAGUCAUCAUGGCCCUUACGUCCGGGGCUACACACGUGCUACAAUGGAUGGUACAGCGGGCAGCUACACAGUAAUGUGAUGCUAAUCUCGAAAAGCCAUUCACAGUUCGGAUUGAGGUCUGCAACUCGACCUCAUGAAGUUGGAUUCGCUAGUAAUCGCGUAUCAGCAAUGACGCGGUGAAUACGUUCCCGGGCCU